rnacentral:rRNA from 1 species
UAUUAAAGGCAACGCCUGCCCAGUGAAUAAUUAAACGGCCGCGGUAUCCUAACCGUGCAAAGGUAGCGUAAUCACCUGUCCAUUAAUUGUGGACCUGUAUGAAAGGCACAAUGAGGGCCCGACUGUCUCUUUUAGAAAAUCAAUUAAACUGAUCCUCCAGUCCAAAAGCUAGAAUACCCCCAUAAGACCAGAAGACCCUGUGAAACUUUAACUAAACUAUUAAAUCACAUAAUAGCUCCUUUCGGUUGGGGCGACCUUGGAAAGAAAAAGAACUUCCAAAUAUACAAACCAUACCACCACAAAGGCUAACAAGCCCACAACAGACCCAGCACAGCUGAUAAAUGAACCAAGCUACUCCAGGGAUAACAGCGCUAUCUUCUUCAAGAGCCCAUAUCAAAAAGAAGGUUUACGACCUCGAUGUUGGAUCAGGACAUCCUGAUGGUGCAACCGCUAUCAAAGGUUCGUUUGUUCAACGAUUACA